GACGAACCGAGCGAACGUUGUUCGGAAUCACUGGGCUUAAAGGGCGCGUAGGCGGGCUGUCAAGUUUGGGGUGAAAUCCCGCGGCUCAACCGUGGAACUGCCUCAAAUACUGACGGUCUCGAGGGAGGUAGGGGCGAGCGGAACUGAUGGUGGAGCGGUGAAAUGCGCAGAUAUCGGGAAGAACACCCGUGGCGAAGGCGGCUCUCUGGGACGGUACUGACGCUGAGACGCGAAAGCGUGGGGAGCGAACAGG
rnacentral:rRNA from 1 species